rnacentral:lncRNA from 1 species
AUGAACACAAACUCCGCUGCACCUUGGUCCACUUCUUCAGACGACAGCCGUUACAGAAUUACCCACCACCAAGGGACCAAGCAGCGGAAGAGGGAGGUCCGGGCGAUGGAGGAGACGCCGGCCAGCAGACGGGGUCGCUGGCGUCGGUCGAGGAAGCCCGGAAGACACCCCCAAGAACAUUUUGGGGGGGGGCUAAUGGGGUGGUCCGGAAGGGCAGAGGAGGAGCCCAGACCACUGCUCUCGUGGGGGAUGACGGCAGAGGAGGAGACGGAGAUGAGGUGGUUUAUUGAGGACCUGCUGAAGGAAGAUCUGGAGGAGGAGCCAUGGGAUGCGGAGUUGCGCGCUGUGUCGCCAGUGCGUCCGCACAGCCCGGUGCGUCCGGUGGACAUGCCCAGCACAUGCCGUGCUAGGAAGGGCAUCCAGCCAGGACGAGUGGCAAAACCGGCUCCACGCUUCAGUUCACCAGUGCGUGUUCACAGUCCUGUCUGGCCCGUCCCUGCUCCCCGCACCAAGUCCACAGUGCAUGUCCCCAGUCCUGUCCGGUCCGUCCCUGCUCCCCGCACCAAGCCCAAGGUGCGUGUCCACAGUCCUGUCCGGCCCGUCCCUGCUCCCCGCACCAAGCCCAAGGUGCGUGUCCCCAGCCCUGCCAGUCAGCAGUCGUCAGAGCUGCCCGCCAGUCAACAGUCGUCAGAGCUGCCCGCCAGUCAACAGUCGUCAGAGCUGCCCGCCAGUCAACAGUCGUCAGAGCUGCCCGCCAGUCAACAGUCGUCAGAGCUGCCCGCCAGUCAACAGUCGUCAGAGCUGCCCGCCAGUCAACAGUCGUCAGAGCUGCCCGCCAGUCAACAGUCGUCAGAGCUGCCCGCCAGUCAACAGUCGUCAGAGCUGCCCGCCAGUCAACAGUCGUCAGAGCUGCCCGCCAGUCAACAGUCGUCAGAGCUGCCCGCCAGUCAACAGUCGCCAGAGAGGCCAGACUGCGCCGAACUGCCGGAGUGGCCAGACUGCGCCGAACUGCCGGAGUGGCCAGACUGCGCCGAACUGCCGGAGUGGCCAGACUGCGCCGAACUGCCGGAGUGGCCAGGGACGCCUGCCAGCCCGGUGAGUCCUGUGCCUACGCCUAGGGACAGGCCUCUGUCAUGUCUCCCCAGCCUGGUGAAUCCUGGGUCAGUGCCGUCGGAGCAGCCAGGGUCGCCCGCCAGCCGGGCGCAACCAUCGCCGGCCGCCAGCCGGGCGCAACAAGGGUCUCCCGCCAGCCGGGCGCAACCAUCGCCGCCCGCCAGCCGGGCGCAGUCAGCGUCGCCCACCAGACCUUCGGCGCAGCCAGGUGCGCCACCUAAGAGGGCGACGUCAAGGGUGGAGCAGAGGCCACGUCCCGCACCUGAGCCGCCGCCGUAA